UACGUAGGUGGCAAGCGUUGUCCGGAUUUACUGGGCGUAAAGGGUGCGUAGGCGGUGUCGUCAGUCUGGGGUGAAAUCCUGCGGCCCAACCGUGGGACUGCCUCGGAUACUGCGAUGCUUGAGUGCGUGAGGGGUGAUCGGAACGCGUGGUGUAGCGGUGAAAUGCGUAGAUAUCACGCGGAAGGCCAACGGCGAAGGCAGAUCACUGGUACGCAACUGACGCUGAGUGCACGAAAGCGUGGGGAGCAAACAGG
rnacentral:rRNA from 1 species